AGCGAACGCUGGCGGCAGGCCUAACACAUGCAAGUCGAACGAACCUUUCGGGGUUAGUGGCGGACGGGUGAGUAACACGUGGGAACGUGCCUUUAGGUUCGGAAUAACUCAGGGAAACUUGUGCUAAUACCGAAUGUGCCCUUCGGGGGAAAGAUUAAUCGCCUUUAGAGCGGCCUGCGUCUGAUUAGCUAGUUGGUUGAGGUAAUGGCUCACCAAGGCGGCGAUCAGUAGCUGGUCUGAGAGGAUGAUCAGCCACAUUGGGACUGUGACACGGCCCGAACUCGUACGGGAGGCAGCAGUGGGGAAUCUUGCGCAAUGGGCGAAGGCCUGACGCAGCCAUGCCGCGUGAAUGAUGAAGGUCUUAGGAUUGUAAAAUUCUUUCACCGGGGACGAUAGUGACGGUACCCGGAGAAGAAGCCCCGGCUAACUUCGUG
rnacentral:rRNA from 1 species